CAAGAAUAAAUGGCUAUUGCAACCAACCUUAACGACCGUACGGAAAUCUGGUCGUAAAAAGUAACCAAUUAAGACGAGAUUUGCAACCCGUCGUAGAUAUUAAGGUUAUUUUGCGACGGGUCUUAAAUUUGGUUGUAAACUUCAAAACCUGGUCGUAAAAAGUGUGAAAAUUGUGCGAAAAAACUUGAGCGGGAGCUUUCCCGGUUUCUAAAUUCUUUAGCGUCCAUAUAAUUACUAAUUACAACGGGACCAACUGUUGCAAAAGACUAUUAAAUUUAAGAAAAAUAUCAUUAAUUGUUAAUCCCCAAAAAUUAAAAAAACCUUCACUUCAAAAAACAAAAACAACCUACGCUAUUGUACGUAUUACUCGCUGUUCCAUUGCGGUUCUUCACUGCGCAACUCCGAUCUCUGUUCAUCCGAAUUGUCGAAUUUCUGGUUUCAGGGGCGAAUUCUCGAAUUUCUGGGCGAAUUCCUCCAUUGGCGCCCUAAUUUGCGAAUUUCUGGGCGAAUUUCUGGGCGAAUUUCAGGGCGAAUUAUCGAAUUUCUGGGCGAAUUCCUCCAUUGGGAGAUGCUUUUGUUCGCCUAAUUUUCAUAGCUUCAGGGGAAUUAGGUAGUAUACCAACAAUUGGGGUUUAUGUCGUGAUCCUUUGUGUUGUCUCCUCUUCUGCGUGUUUGACAACAAUCUUGCACACUGCCCAUAGUCCUAACAUAUUGGAAAGAAUACAAUGGCCCCUUGUAAGGAGUGGAUGAAACUUUCUCGAGAUGAUCGUUUGAAUGUUGCAUAUGAAAUAGGCGUUGACAACUUUUUAAAAUAUGCAUCUGAAAAGUCGGGAGGAAUAGAAAAGAUUAAAUGUCCUUGCGUAAAAUGCUUAAAUGCAUCAUUUGGAUCUCUAAAUAUGGUCAAAGAUCACUUAUUAACUUAUGGAAUCAUAGAGGGUUAUACA